UACGAAGGGGGCGAGCGUUGUUCGGAUUUACUGGGCGUAAAGGGCGCGUAGGCGGCGCAAGAAGUCAGGCGUGAAAGCCCCGGGCUCAACCUGGGAAUUGCGCUUGGGACUCUUGGGCUCGAGUUCGGGAGAGGAGCGUGGAAUUCCCAGUGUAGAGGUGAAAUUCGUAGAUAUUGGGAAGAACACCGGUGGCGAAGGCGGCGCUCUGGGACGGUACUGACGCUGAGACGCGAAAGCGUGGGGAGCGAACAGG
rnacentral:rRNA from 1 species